GCACAUCCCCGCUGAUGACCCUUUGCAUUUGGAUCGGGUUAUGUCAAAAUUAUCAUGGACCAUAUUGUAAUAUAUCUCUUCUUCUGUGUAUUGUACAGUAGUCAACACAUAGGGCAUCACAACAACUGUACCAUGUUGGAUCAAAUAUAUGUUUAUUGAAUUAUCGACUCCUUUAAUGCACUAAUUUCUUCUAGUGGUAUAUUAUUCUGCAACAGAAAAAAUAGUUCAAUCUUAAUGCCAUUAUGUUCAUGAUUAUUUGACUGCUUAAGCUUUGGAAGGGAAAUUUUCACUGCACGCU
rnacentral:lncRNA from 1 species